AGAGUUCCCCAUCUAGCACUCAAGAUGACAGAGCAGUAAACAAGGCUCCACACAAGCACAGGGCCCAGCAGCUACUCAGGAUUUAAAUUUUAAAUGUCAUAUCAAGGAUGUACACAGAACCUGGAAGCCUUCCCUUUGCUCCAGGACUUCGAGGAUCAGUUCCUGUGGGCCACAUGUGUACAGUAUGAGACUGGGUUCUCCUGCAAUCCUGUAUUCAUCUACAACCUCCCUGCCCAUUCCUACUUCCACCCCUAUCACCAAAUCCCUUUGUCAUUUUAUGAUAGCAGAGAUUAAGAUCCAAAAGACUUCUCCUGAAAAAGUGAAAUAUGACUCAUCUCUAACUUAGCAAUGGAGUGGCCUUCACUGAGAUUGGAUACAGAAAUCAGAAUGGAGAAAACUGUAAACAAGUUGCUGCCAACCCAAAUGGAUAUGCAAGAGUUAAGAAAUGCAAGCUUCACUUGGGAUAGGAAUUAGAGCAAGACUCGUGCUUUUUUCAGGGUUUCAGAUUAAUGUGCUAAAACUGAGUUGAAAACAACACCUCACCCCCAUAUUCUGGAAAUGGAGUUAUUGACAAAGUCAUCAAAUCUCUCCAUUUACAUAAAAUAAAAAGUAAUCUGUACUCUUUAGCUAGCAAUUUCAACAGCAUUCUUUUAUCCAUUCAAAACACAGCAGAAACAGUGCCAGUUCAUGUACAAUAAUGACUGCCAGCAGGAGUCAGACAAAUAUUUUUGUUCAGGCUACACUAGAGGACUAAAUCUAGAAAUCCUUACUAGAUUUCCACCUACAUUAUAUACAGUCACCUCAUCUAA